GAUGUUAGCGGCGGACGGGUGAGUAACACGUGGGUAACCUGCCUGUAAGACUGGGAUAACUCCGGGAAACCGGAGCUAAUACCGGAUAGUUCCUUGAACCGCAUGGUUCAAGGAUGAAAGACGGUUUCGGCUGUCACUUACAGAUGGACCCGCGGCGCAUUAGCUAGUUGGUGGGGUAAUGGCUCACCAAGGCGACGAUGCGUAGCCGACCUGAGAGGGUGAUCGGCCACACUGGGACUGAGACACGGCCCAGACUCCUACGGGAGGCAGCAGUAGGGAAUCUUCCGCAAUGGACGAAAGUCUGACGGAGCAACGCCGCGUGAGUGAUGAAGGUUUUCGGAUCGUAAAGCUCUGUUGUUAGGGAAGAACAAGUGCGAGAGUAACUGCUCGCACCUUGACGGUACCUAACCAGAAAGCCACGGCUAACUACGUGCCAGCAGCCGCGGUAAUACGUAGGUGGCAAGCGUUGUCCGGAAUUAUUGGGCGUAAAGGGCUCGCAGGCGGUUUCUUAAGUCUGAUGUGAAAGCCCCCGGCUCAACCGGGGAGGGUCAUUGGAAACUGGGAAACUUGAGUGCAGAAGAGGAGAGUGGAAUUCCACGUGUAGCGGUGAAAUGCGUAGAGAUGUGGAGGAACACCAGUGGCGAAGGCGACUCUCUGGUCUGUAACUGACGCUGAGGAGCGAAAGCGUGGGGAGCGAACAGGAUUAGAUACCCUGGUAGUCCACGCCGUAAACGAUGAGUGCUAAGUGUUAGGGGGUUUCCGCCCCUUAGUGCUGCAGCUAACGCAUUAAGCACUCCGCCUGGGGAGUACGGUCGCAAGACUGAAACUCAAAGGAAUUGACGGGGGCCCGCACAAGCGGUGGAGCAUGUGGUUUAUUCGAAGCAACGCGAAGAACCUUACCAGGUCUUGACAUCCUCUGACAACCCUAGAGAUAGGGCUUUCCCUUCGGGGACAGAGUGACAGGUGGUGCAUGGUUGUCGUCAGCUCGUGUCGUGAGAUGUUGGGUUAAGUCCCGCAACGAGCGCAACCCUUGAUCUUAGUUGCCAGCAUUUAGUUGGGCACUCUAAGGUGACUGCCGGUGACAAACCGGAGGAAGGUGGGGAUGACGUCAAAUCAUCAUGCCCCUUAUGACCUGGGCUACACACGUGCUACAAUGGACAGAACAAAGGGCUGCGAGACCGCAAGGUUUAGCCAAUCCCAUAAAUCUGUUCUCAGUUCGGAUCGCAGUCUGCAACUCGACUGCGUGAAGCUGGAAUCGCUAGUAAUCGCGGAUCAGC
rnacentral:rRNA from 2 species